rnacentral:rRNA from 1 species
AUUGAACGCUGGCGGCAGGCCUAACACAUGCAAGUCGAACGGUAACAGGAAACAGCUUGCUGUUUCGCUGACGAGUGGCGGACGGGUGAGUAAUGUCUGGGAAACUGCCUGAUGGAGGGGGAUAACUACUGGAAACGGUAGCCAAUACCGCAUAACGUCGCAAGACCAAAGAGGGGGACCUUCGGGCCUCUUGCCAUCGGAUGUGCCCAGAUGGGAUUAGCUAGUAGGUGGGGUAACGGCUCACCUAGGCGACGAUCCCUAGCUGGUCUGAGAGGAUGACCAGCCACACUGGAACUGAGACACGGUCCAGACCCCUACGGGAGGCAGCAGUGGGGAAUAUUGCACAAUGGGCGCAAGCCUGAUGCAGCCAUGCCGCGUGUAUGAAGAAGGCCUUCGGGUUGUAAAGUACUUUCAGCGGGGAGGAAGGGAGUAAAGUUAAUACCUUUACUCAUUGACGUUACCCGCAGAAGAAGCACCGGCUAACUCCGUG